rnacentral:rRNA from 1 species
UGGGGAAUAUUGCACAAUGGGCGCAAGCCUGAUGCAGCCAUGCCGCGUGUGUGAAGAAGGCCUUCGGGUUGUAAAGCACUUUCAGCGAGGAGGAAGGUGGUGAGCUUAAUACGCUCAUCAAUUGACGUUACUCGCAGAAGAAGCACCGGCUAACUCCGUGCCAGCAGCCGCGGUAAUACGGAGGGUGCAAGCGUUAAUCGGAAUUACUGGGCGUAAAGCGCACGCAGGCGGUUUGUUAAGUCAGAUGUGAAAUCCCCGGGCUCAACCUGGGAACUGCAUUUGAAACUGGCAAGCUAGAGUCUCGUAGAGGGGGGUAGAAUUCCAGGUGUAGCGGUGAAAUGCGUAGAGAUCUGGAGGAAUACCGGUGGCGAAGGCGGCCCCCUGGACGAAGACU